rnacentral:rRNA from 1 species
UACGAAGGGGGCUAGCGUUGCUCGGAAUGACUGGGCGUAAAGGGCGCGUAGGCGGUUUGUACAGUCAGAUGUGAAAUUCCUGGGCUCAACCUGGGGGCUGCAUUUGAUACGUAUGGACUGGAGUGAGGAAGAGGGUCGUGGAAUUCCCAGUGUAGAGGUGAAAUUCGUAGAUAUCGGGAGGAACACCAGUGGCGAAGGCGGCGAUCUGGGAAGAUACUGACGCUGAGGUGCGAAAGCGUGGGGAGCAAACAGG